rnacentral:rRNA from 1 species
GUCUUAGCUGUAAACGAUGAGCACUUGAUUGGAGGGUCCUCCAUAGCCUUCCAGUCGUAGCGAAAGUGUUAAGUGCUCCGCCUGGGGAGUAUGGUCGCAAGGCUGAAACUCAAAGAAAUUGACGGGGGCUCACACAAGCGGUGGAGGAUGUGGCUUAAUUCGAGGCUACGCGAAGAACCUUAUCCUAGUCUUGACAUGUAUGGAUUAACCCUGUGAAAGCAGGGCCACGCCUUCGGGUGGAACAUACACAGGUGCUGCAUGGCU